UGGGGAAUAUUGCACAAUGGGGGAAACCCUGAUGCAGCGACGCCGCGUGAACGAAGAAGGUAUUCGUAUCGUAAAGUUCUGUCCUAUGGGAAGAUAAUGACAGUACCAUAGAAGAAAGCUCCGGCUAAAUACGUGCCAGCAGCCGCGGUAAUACGUAUGGAGCGAGCGUUGUCCGGAAUUAUUGGGCGUAAAGGGUACGCAGGCGGUGUAAUAAGUCGAAUGUUAAAGAUCGGGGCUCAACCCCGCAAAGCAUUGGAAACUGAUAAACUUGAGUAGUGGAGAGGAAGGGGGAAUUCCUAGUGUAGUGGUGAAGUACGGAGAUAUUAGGAGGAAUACCAGCAGCGAAGGCGACGUUCUGGACACAAACUGACGCUGAGGUACGAAAGCGUGGGGAGCAAAGAGG
rnacentral:rRNA from 1 species